UUACCACUAACUGGGAACUGGGUUUGG
rnacentral:piRNA from 1 species